CCAGAGGUCCUGCGUGGUGUCCAGCCCCUGCCAGAAGCCCUGCUACUACCCCAGGAGCUACACACCCUGCAGUCCCUGCCAGGGGACAUAUGCUGGCUCCCUGAGCUUUGGGUCCAGAAGCUGCAGUUCCCUGGGUUAUGGAUCUAGAAUCUGCUACCCAGUGAGCUGUGGAAGCAGUGGCUUCAGAUCCCUGAAUUGUGGAGUCUAUGACUUCCCUUCCCUGGGUUAUGGGUCUAGAACCUACUACCCAGUGUAUGUGGAUUCUACACGAUUUCAACCUUCUUGUUAUACAUCAAUCUGUGGCACUGGCUUCUAGAAAUUAAACAGUUAGGUCUCUGUAUUCUUACAAUAUCAAAAUCGAAUUCUAUACAUCCUGUAGACAUGUUUACUCAUUAUCUUCUAUCAUUUUUCCUUUGUCUUUCCACUAAUGAUUUUUUUUCCUCUUCUACUUCUGUUAGAAUAUUAGAUUAUUGUGCAUUCCCUAUUAGGCCUCAAAUAUUAUGCUAUUGAAAUCAGCUAUUUCAUGUUCAAUCCAUCCUACUUGAAAACUGAAAUUUUAAUCCAAUAAAUUUGCGCAAUCUGAACCCUC
rnacentral:lncRNA from 1 species